AACUAUGGCCAGAAUCCCAAAAUGUGCUUAACUCCGCACAAGGAAUUUGAUCUUGGAAGCUAAGCAGGGUCACCCCUGAUUAGUACUUGGAUGGGAGACCGACACUGUGAAUGCCAGAUGCUGUAGGCU
rnacentral:rRNA from 11 species